rnacentral:rRNA from 1 species
GAUGAACGCUGGCGGCGUGCCUAAUACAUGCAAGUCGAGCGAACAGAUGAGGAGCUUGCUCCUCUGACGUUAGCGGCGGACGGGUGAGUAACACGUGGAUAACCUACCUAUAAGACUGGGAUAACUUCGGGAAACCGGAGCUAAUACCGGAUAAUAUAUUGAACCGCAUGGUUCAAUAGUGAAAGACGGUUUUUGUGUCACUUAUAGAUGGAUCCGCGCCGCAUUAGCUAGUUGGUAAGGUAACGGCUUACCAAGGCUACGAUGCGUAGCCGACCUGAGAGGGUGAUCGGCCACACUGGAACGGAGACACGGUCCAGACUCCUACGGGAGGCAGCAGUAGGGAAUCUUCCGCAAUGGGCGAAAGCCUGACGGAGCAACGCCGCGUGAGUGAUGAAGGUCUUCGGAUCGUAAAACUCUGUUAUUAGGGAAGAACAAAUGUGUAAGUAACCAUGCACGUCUUGACGGUACCUAAUCAGAAAGCCACGGCUAACUACGUG